UUACGGCCACAUCGCGUUAAAACACCGGUUCCCGUACGAUCACCGACGUUAAGCAAUGUCGAGCUUCGUCAAUACCUAGACGGGUGACCGUUUGAGAAUACGAGCUGCGGUA